rfam:Trichuris trichiura, WGS project CBXK01000000 data, contig: TTRE_279
UAGCUCUGGCUCCUGUGCAUUUCGCAUAAAUCUUUCGCCUUUUACUAAAGAUUUCCGUGCGCAGGAGCGUUUAUGAGAACAGAGUUCUAAUUUUUGGUAGCCCGUAAGGGCU